CUUGAUCGAGCCCAGCCACAACGGUUGAUCCGCCGGCCGGUCCUGCCCGUAUGUCGCCAACAGUGCUUGCGCCUC
rnacentral:antisense_RNA from 1 species